CUUGGUCAUUUAGAGGAAGUAAAAGUCGUAACAAGGUCUCCGUUGGUGAACCAGCGGAGGGAUCAUUAAAGAGUUGCAAAACUCCCUUUAAACCAUCGCGAACGUUACCCACGACGCCGUUGCCUCGGCGGAGCGUCGCCCCGUGCCGUCAAAAGUACGGGGCGUGCGCCCGCCGGGAGACCGGCACAACCAAACUCUUAUAACCAUUGGCCUCUCUGAGUAAGAUUUUUAAAUAAGUCAAAACUUUCAACAACGGAUCUCUUGGUUCUGGCAUCGAUGAAGAACGCAGCGAAAUGCGAUAAGUAAUGUGAAUUGCAGAAUUCAGUGAAUCAUCGAAUCUUUGAACGCACAUUGCGCCCGCCAGUAUUCUGGCGGGCAUGCCUGUUCGAGCGUCAUUUCAACCAUCAAGCCCUGCUUGUGUUGGGGUCCUGCGGCUGCCCGCAGGCCCUGAAAACCAGUGGCGGGCUCGCUAGUCACACCGAGCGCAGUAGCACAUCUCGCUUUGGUCGUGCGGCGGGUUCUUGCCGUAAAACACCCCCCUUUUAUCAAGGUUGACCUCGGAUCAGGUAGGAAUACCCGCUGAACUUAAGCAUAUCAAUAAGCGGAGGAAAAGAAACCAACAGGGAUUGCCCUAGUAACGGCGAGUGAAGCGGCAACAGCUCAAAUUUGAAAUCUGGCCCUUUCAGGGUCCGAGUUGUAAUUUGUAGAAGAUGCUUCGGGUGUGGCUCCGGUCUAAGUUCCUUGGAACAGGACGUCAUAGAGGGUGAGAAUCCCGUAUGUGACUGGUUGCCUUCGCCCAUGUGAAGCUCUUUCGACGAGUCGAGUUGUUUGGGAAU
rnacentral:sRNA from 1 species